rnacentral:rRNA from 1 species
UACGAAGGGGGCUAGCGUUGCUCGGAAUUACUGGGCGUAAAGCGCACGUAGGCGGUCUUUUAAGUCGGGGGUGAAAUCCUGGAGCUCAACUCCAGAACUGCCUUCGAUACUGGAAGACUCGAGUCCGGGAGAGGUGAGUGGAACUGCGAGUGUAGAGGUGAAAUUCGUAGAUAUUCGGAAGAACACCAGUGGCGAAGGCGGCUCACUGGCCCGGUACUGACGCUGAGGUGCGAAAGCGUGGGGAGCAAACAGG